UACGUAGGGUGCAAGCGUUGUCCGGAAUUAUUGGGCGUAAAGAGCUUGUAGGCGGUUUGUCGCGUCUGCUGUGAAAUUUCGGGGCUCAACCCCGAACUUGCAGUGGGUACGGGCAGACUAGAGUGUGGUAGGGGAGACUGGAAUUCCACGUGUAGCAGUGAAAUGCGUAGAGAUGUGGAGGAACACCGAUGGCGAAGGCAGCUCGCUGGGACGGUACUGACGCUAAGGCGCGAAACGUGGGGAGCGAACAGG
rnacentral:rRNA from 1 species